UGGCGAACGGGUGAGUAAUACAUCGGAACGUGCCCAGUAGUGGGGGAUAGCUCGGCGAAAGCCGGAUUAAUACCGCAUACGACCUACGGGUGAAAGCGGGGGAUCGCAAGACCUCGCGCUAUUGGAGCGGCCGAUGGCAGAUUAGCUUGUUGGUGAGGUAAAAGCUCACCAAGGCGACGAUCUGUAGCUGGUCUGAGAGGACGACCAGCCACACUGGGACUGAGACACGGCCCAGACUCCUACGGGAGGCAGCAGUGGGGAAUUUUGGACAAUGGGCGCAAGCCUGAUCCAGCAAUGCCGCGUGUGUGAUGAAGGCCUUCGGGUUGUAAAGCACUUUUAGUGGGAACGAAACGGUCCGGGCUAAUACCCUGGACUACUGACGGUACCCGCAGAAUAAGCACCGGCUAACUACGUGCCAGCAGCCGCGGUAAUACGUAGGGUGCAAGCGUUAAUCGGAAUUACUGGGCGUAAAGCGUGCGCAGGCGGUUUUGUAAGACCGAUGUGAAAUCCCCGGGCUUAACCUGGGAACUGCAUUGGUGA
rnacentral:rRNA from 1 species